rnacentral:sRNA from 22 species
CUUCAGGAUCGCUAGGGUUCCGGUUGUGCGCAGAUCAAUGCGCACGAUGUCUGGUCCGAGAGCAAUCCGGUCUUGCCGUUCACCUUCUUUCAAGGCGCCGGCGAGGCUCCACGGAGGGAUAAAAGCCCGGGAGGU